GGGGGUAAAUUAAUAAGGUAUAAGUAAUAAAAAAAUUUUUAAUAUUGGGGGGUAUUAAAGUAUUUUUUUAAGAAAAAAUAACUUAUUUUAUAGUAAAUUAGUAUUGAAAAAGAAAUUUGAAAUAAUUGAAAAUGAAUUAAUAAAAAAGUAAUUUUUAUUUAGUGUAUCUUGUGUAUCAGAGUUUAUUAAUAAAUAUUUUUUUUAAAAAAAAAUCUCGAAUUUAAAAGAGUUAAUUAAUUAUUAAAGUUAAUGUAGAAAAAUUAUUUUAAAUAAUUAAUUUGAAAUGAAAUGUUAAUCGUUUUUAAAGAUAUCUAGUUAUUUUAGAAAAAAAUUUAAUUUUAAAUUUAAAAAAUUUUAUUUUUAAUUUGAAUUAAAAAUAAAAUUUUUAAAAUUUAAUAUAUUAAGGGAUAAGCUUUAGUAUAAAAAUUUAUAAUAAAUUAAAAUUUAAUUGAAAAUUUUAAAAUUUAUAUUGUUUAAAAAUUAUAAUUUAUUAUAAAUAAUUUUAUAAAAAAUAAAAUUUAAUGUAAAAUUUAAUUUUGUAUAAAAUAGUAAUAAAAAUAAAAAAAAAUUAGUAAUAAUGAUAAAAUUAGUAUAUUAGUAAAAAAAAUUAUUUAAUUAAUUAAAAUUAAAUAAAAGGAAUUCGGCAAAAAUUUAUAUUCACUUGUUUAUCAAAAACAUGUCUUUUAGAAAAUAAUUUAAAGUCUAAUCUGCCCACUGAUAUUAUAUUAAAGGGCUGCAGUAUAUUGACUGUACAAAGGUAGCAUAAUCAAUAGUCUUUUAAUUGAAGACUUGUAUGAAAGAUUUGAUGAAAUAUAAACUGUCUCUAAUUUAAUAAUAAAAUUUAAUUUUUUAGUUAAAAAGCUAAAAUAAAUUUAAAAGACGAGAAGACCCUAUAGAGUUUUAUAUUAAAAUUAUUUAAUAUUUUAUUUAUACUUAAAAAUUAAAAAUAAAAUUAGUAUUUUAUUGGGGUGAUAAAAAAAUUAAAAUAACUUUUUUUAUAUUAAAUCAUAAAUAAGUGAAUAAAUGAUCCAUUUUUUAUGAUUAAAAGAAAAAAUUACCUUAGGGAUAACAGCGUAAUAUUUUUUUUUAGUACAAAUAAGAAAAAAAGUUUGCGACCUCGAUGUUGGAUUAAGAUAAAAUUUAAAUGCAAAAGUUUAAAAUUUUGAUCUGUUCGAUCAUUAAAAUCUUACAUGAUCUGAGUUCAAACCGGUGUGAGCCAGGUUGGUUUCUAUCUUUAAAAUAAUAAAAUAUUUUAGUACGAAAGGAUCAAAUAUUUUUAAUAAUUAAAAUUUAAUGAAUAUUAUUAAUUUGUUAUUAUAAUAUAUAUAUAUAUAUAUAUAAAUAU
rnacentral:rRNA from 1 species